GGGAGCACAGCCCUAGCAACAAGGACUACCUCCUAGCAACGAGCAUGACACCCAGUGCAUGAAACACCUGACAACGAGCAUGACACCCAGUGCAUGAAACACCUGGCAACGAGCAUGACACCCAGUGCAUGAAACCCCUGACAACGAGAAGGCAAACUUCAGUGAGGGUGUGCCAGUGGAACUAGGGGUCAUGGAGACCUGGACGUACAGUAAGCAUAAACACACCUGUUUGGAGGACAGUCUUUUACACAUAGGAUGGUGUCAGGCCACAAAUAGGAGCCAUGAGUGAUCUGCUCCCGGCAGGAGAAAGCUAUUUCCUCUGCAACAUCGAUAUGGCAAUAAAGGAGGUACUCUGAGGCAAUACCACUACGGAAUACUAAGUCUAGCACCAGGAGCUGGUAAUAUUAUUCACACGGUUGGGAUCUCAGAGGAGGUACUGAUGGACCAGGGAACUACUUUUAUGUCUAAAUUGAAGGAUCUGUGCCGCCUGUGGGGGUUGAUAGAAUUACCACUUCAGUCUAUCACCUACAAACUUAUGGACUGGUAGAAUGAUUUAAUCAAACCCUGAAGCAGAUGAUAAAGUGGGUGUUGUUCCAAGAGAGGUACCUACCUAAUAUUUGCCGUAUAUUGGAUGUACACCAGUCAUCUACAGGGUUUAGCCCUUUUGAGCUCCUUUAUGGUCGGCAGCCUGGACAGAUUUUGGAUUUCUUAAAGUAGGGCUGGGAGCAGCAACCAACUGAAGAGCCUGAUAUUGUGUUUCAGUUAUAUGGUCGCCUAAGGUAAAUUGAGCCACAGGUAACAGAGCAUAUGAACCAGGCCCAACAACAUAAAAAAUGUAACUGUGAUGUCACAGCUGUUAACCACAAAUUUAAACCAGGGGACAAGGUAUUAGUUUUAGUUCUCACCCCUGAAAGUAAACCGUAAGCCAACUGGCAAGGUCCUUAUGAGGUCAUAGAGGCUGUGGCACCCAUUAAUUAUAAAGUAUGACAGGAGGGUAGAAGGAAAGAGAUACAAAUUUACCAUAUUAAUUUGUUAAAACCCUGAAAGGGAAGUGUAGUCAACCUUUGCUUCAGGCCCUCAAUACACUGGACUGCCAGGUGCUGAUUGAAGCUUCGUUAAGUCCCAACCAAGAGAGGGAAGCUCAAAGUGGGAUUGUAGAGAAUUAAAUCAGUAGUAUAAAGAAUAUGAAAUUUAUACCAAAUAAGUCAGUAAAUCAAAGGCAACAUUAAAAUGACAAUCAAACCAGCAAGUACAAAGAAUUGCA